AUUGAACGCUGGCGGCAGGCCUAACACAUGCAAGUCGAACGAGUGGCGGACGGGUGAGUAAUGUCUGGGAAACUGCCUGAUGGAGGGGGCUAACUACUGGAAACGGUAGCUAAUACCGCAUACCCCCGGAUGUGCCCAGAUGGGUUUAGCUAGUAGGUGGGGUAACGGCUCCCCUAGGCGACGAUCCCUAGCUGGUCUGCGAGGAUGACCGGACACAAUGGAAUUAAGAGACGGUCCAGACUCCUACGGGAGGCAGCAGUGGGGAAUAUGGCACAAUGGGCGCAAGCCUGAUACAGCCAUGCCGCGUGUAUGAAGAAGGCCUUCGGGUAGUAAAGUACGUUCAGCGGGGAGGCGUUACCCGCAGAAGAAGCACCGGCUAACUCCGUGCCAGCAGCCGCGGUAAUUC
rnacentral:rRNA from 1 species